GUUCAAGCGAUUCUUCUGCCUCAGCCUCCCAAGUAGCUGGGACCACAGACACUGUGGGAGGCUUGAGGCCCAUGACAUCAAUUUAGGCAUCCGGAGAAGUGACAGAGACAUACUCAGGAAGGCUGGACCCAUGGAGGCUGCCCACCUUGUUCAUUGAUUUCUACUUGAUUGAUUCCUUCUUGAUUGAUUUCCAGGAUCUCUGAAACGAGAAGCCCUCCCCUUUAUAUGUUUAAUCAGAUAUUGCAAAGUGGACCUGAGAACGAGCCCGUCGGAAGCAGAUUAUGAAGGGGCCUAUGUUUUGAAUAUGCUGAACUGCUUUGGUUUGUGACUGGGGAAGAUUAAAGGCCUACAACAAAAAUGAGUGCUGGAUAUUGCUGACAAGAGAGGCUUCCUGUAAUUUCUCAGGCCAUAAGUAUUUAGUGAGUAUUUACAAGGUGUGGGUUAUUUUCAGAAACUCUUAGACCAAGAGACUCAGGAACUGGUAUGUCCCCAGGGACACUGGUAUCCCUGUCUCGCUUACUGGAGUGUCUCAUACAGGGACUGGCACAUAAAUACAGAAACGCUAUACAUAAACGCUAGUUAAAUGAAGGCACAGGUGAACAAAUGAGUGAACGAAUGAUCAAGCGAAUCUACUCGUUCAGUCCCUCAGGCUUUGUAACCCCAGUAACCAAGAACGAUGCCUGCCAUGAAUUAGGCAAUCAAUAAAGGUUUGGUUCCAUGAGUUAAUAAAUCCAAUCAAGCAUUAGUAACUUACCCAAGUAUUCUGUUUGACUAUUAAAAAUUUUCCAAUGUAGUUGCUAAUAAUUGUCAUACUCUUU
rnacentral:lncRNA from 10 species